GAUGAACGCUGGCGGCGUGCCUAAUACAUGCAAGUCGAGCGAACAGAUGAGGAGCUUGCUCCUCUGACGUUAGCGGCGGACGGGUGAGUAACACGUGGAUAACCUACCUAUAAGACUGGGAUAACUUCGGGAAACCGGAGCUAAUACCGGAUAAUAUAUUGAACCGCAUGGUUCAAUAGUGAAAGACGGUUUUGCUGUCACUUAUAGAUGGAUCCGCGCCGCAUUAGCUAGUUGGUAAGGUAACGGCUUACCAAGGCGACGAUGCGUAGCCGACCUGAGAGGGUGAUCGGCCACACUGGAACUGAGACACGGUCCAGACUCCUACGGGAGGCAGCAGUAGGGAAUCUUCCGCAAUGGGCGAAAGCCUGACGCAGCAACGCCGCGUGAGUGAUGAAGGUCUUCGGAUCGUAAAACUCUGUUAUUAGGGAAGAACAAAUGUGUAAGUAACUAUGCACGUCUUGACGGUACCUAAUCAGAAAGCCACGGCUAACUACGUG
rnacentral:rRNA from 1 species